CCGCGUCUGCGGCCAGGGCUUGACCCCGGGCGCCCGCCCCCCCGCCCGUCCGCGCGCGCGGGGCCCGGUUUUGAGAGGGGCCGACGGGUCUGGCCCGGGCGGCCGGGGCCGGGGGUGCGGGGAGGUCCCGGGGCGCGCGAGCCCCCGCCCGGAGGUCCGGGCUGCAGAGCGGGCGGCGGGGCGGGCGCGCGGCGCGCACUAGGACCCAGCGGGGCUCCGGGCCCGGGUGGGAGCCGCGCCGCCGACCCCGGGCGGGCGCCGGGGCUGGAGCCGGGGUUCCGGCCGCGAUCGGCUGCAGCUCGGCCGGGAGACGGCGCGACCCGGCGGCGGGGCCCCCGGCCAGUGCAGCGCCGCCGCAGCCCCCCGAUGCGGCCGCGAGGAGCAGCGGGGGGGGGCCCCGGCGAUCGAAGGGACAAGCAGAGCGAAGCAUCCAAGGCCCAGGGAGCCAGCCCGGGUGAAGGCAACGAGAAGAGAUGCAGAUGGCAAGAGAUAGAGAACAACGGAUGCCUCUGGAAGGAGAAAGCCCCGAGAGCCGGCGUUGUGGAAGCAGCGGGCUCCCGUGGUCUGAUCCGAUGUCGCGCUGCACCGUGCCUUCCUCCAGAUGUCCUGGUCGCUCUGGCUUUGAGCAGAGUGCCCGUGCAGGCAGGACAGACACCCUGAUUGCCCUUCCCACCCCCCUGUAAACUCACCCACACCUGCUCCUCGGUUUUGCCCGGAUCUCUGUCGCCCGUGCUUCUGUGCAUCCGCAUCUCCGGCCUCCUCUACACGCCACGCCGUGCGCAGAGGCAGCAAGGCUGCGGGAUGGGGCUUCGGUGCCCGUGGAGACUCUGCAGUAACUGCCCCCGCCUCACUUUUGCUUGUUCCUUCUGUGUCUUCCUUCAUUGGUUUGUUCAGGUGAUCCUUUGACUCGGUGUGUGUUUAGUGAGCACGUACUGUGUGUGUUUAGUGAGCACGUACUGUCUGCUGCGUGCUGUGGGUGCUCAGGAUCUGGCGGUGGACGUGGCAAAGGAGGGCUACGCCAGGUACCACCAUGGUGUGUGUGUGCUGGCUGGGUGAACAUCUGGGACUGUCUCCGGAUCACCUGUCCACAGUUAAAUGCCCAGAUUCUUCAACUGGGACAUGUCCCCACUAAAAAAAAAAAAAAAAUAAAAAAAUAACCACAACAGAGAUUUUUAUUAAUACAGAUUCCAGGCCCAGGUUCCAGAGAUACUGAGAUCUUCACUACCUUAGUACGUACUUAGUUUGUUGGGUCAGACAGGUGUGAUGGACUGUCAGUCUUUUGACUUACGAAUCAGCCAUUCAGUUCAACAGAGAUUUCCUGAAGACCUACUGUGUGUCAAAGCGCUCUGCUUUUGUUCUGCAUCACCGCAAAUCCUUUCCCCCAUUUCUCAGCGAGGAUUAGAGAGGGCCGUAUGAGUAAUAAAAAUGAACGAACAUGGGAAAGGUAGUCUCUGUGGCAGGGACUCCUGUUAGUAGGGUUUCUGCCGAUGGGCUGGUUGAUCUCCAUGAUUUUUCCACCACGCCAGUAGGAAGUACAGUCUUCAGCUCUUCCUCCCUUUUCUCAAGUAAGUACUGUUACUUGUCCCCAUCUUCCAGAUGAGAACACUGAGGUUUCAAGGGGUUAAGUAACUUGCCCAAGGUCAUACAGUGAAGAGUGUAGAACCAGGGCUUGAACCUCAGCCUCUCACUCCAGAUUCCAUGCUUGCAACCCCUGUGCCUUGUUGGAUUGGCCCUCACAAGUAGGCUGUCAGGUGUCUGGAGGCGAGCUCAGAGUCACAUGUUGACUCGUAGGGCUGGGGCUGAACCAGAAUUGCCCACAGACACUGCUGGUUCUCUGCGACUGGUCUUCACGUUUUCCUAGCGCACACAUCUUUACCGGCACCUUGUCGGUGUCUGGAAGACAGCGGCCUAGCUGAAAACCUGCAUAGAGUUAGUUGCUUUGAAGGAGAAACCCUGUGGUUAAAGAAGAGGCCAUUGCUGGUGUCAGUUAUUAACUAGUAAUUCCAAAGGGGUGAGUUGAACUAAAUUGUGUGUAACUUCUCUGAUAAUUAUGGUUGUAACAGAUGCAUGGGCCGUAGUGAGUUGGGGCUGUGUUAAUAUUGGUGAUACAAUUAGUUCCCAUUUUCUGAGACCGACUGCGAACCAGACAUGCUGGAUAUCUGCCAUAUAUUAUUCCCAUCUUCCCCAAAGCCCUGGAAAGUGGUUGUUGCUCUUCUGCUUUACAGAAGAACCAAGGGCUCACGAAGGUUAAGUGACUUGCCCAGGACCAUACAGCUUAUCAGUCGCUAACCCAGCCUCGGCUGCUCCUAACACCGUGCCUUUCCAGUCCCCUAUUUGUUCGUUAACAUUUAUUUAUUUUUAUUUAUUUAUUUUUUUUACUGACCACCUACUAAGGUGCCAGCUGCUCUUCUUGGCGCUGGGGAUGCUAUGGGGAAUAUGGUAGAUGUGGUCUUUGUUUCUUGGGGCUUAUACCAGACAGUGGUGGCCUUCCAGAGCCUGGGACCCCUAUGUAAAAUAGGCAAGUGGGGAGAAUGGGAUCCAAGACAUAAUACGAAGGCCUUGAACUGACAAGGCCCAAAGCCUCUUCUGUAGUUAGGGUUUAUUUUUUCAUUUUUAUUUUUUAUUUUUUGUAGUUAGGGUUUAAUCAGGCAAGUAACUGUAGAGAUAUGAGUCCUCCAAGGAGGUUUAAUUACUUAUCAGUGUAGGUUAAAGGAAAGUACAAUUAGAAGAUUCAGAAUGGGCAUUUUGGGGUUGGCAAGCUUGCAGUUGUAAGCCCCGGGCUGACUUGAGAACAGCCUGCAGAGGGCGGGCCAUCUAGCUGCCAUCUUGGUAGUCUUGCUUUCCUGGGCCCUCCCACCCCCACCCCCCAGCACCUAGUCCUGGCCCCAGUCCUCCGGACAGGUGAGGAGGCUGAUGGCUACUCAUGCAGCUGGCACCCCUCCCUGUUACUCCACAGGCUGCAUGGAUGGUACUGGUGCGGAGCCAUCCUGGUUCUUGUGCUGCUCAAGGUCAGCAUCUCUGGCCCACCUGUUCAACGCUGAUGGCAUCUCCCUUCUCCCCAUUGUUGUGACAAACCGUCCUCACCUAUUUGCAAGCAUUCAGUUCUCCCGUUGAGAACCUUAAAAAUGUGCUGGUUUUUCCCACAACACUAGUACCCUUUUGCUCUCUUCCCUUGGCUGGCUCUACACGACCUCCAGAUGACUCCAGUCAGACUUUCCUCGAUUGUUCCUUUUCCCACGGUGUCCUGUUUUCGGGCCCUGGGUCUGUCUGGUAUUUCCACAAAUGCCCAUCAAGUACCCCUUGCAUGAAGGCUCUGGUCAGGGAGGGGUCAAGAUCUUUAUGUGAGAGAGAAUAUCGAGACAUGGUUCGCUGCAAGCCCUUCAUCUCAUGGAUGACAAAGCUGGAACACGGGGGAAAAAAUUGGUGCAAGUGGACACUCCCGACUCAUUGCCCGCACUCUGUCACCCUGGCUACUUCUCAAGCUCAAAGUAGCUGUAGUGGGAAGAUUUUGGAGGCGCUGGAAUUUUGAACUCUUUAUGCUGGAAUUGCAAAGAUAAAAUACAUAGCUCACAGCCACUAUCUUCUAGAACAUACAAGAACCAGUCCUUAGUCUCACUCCAGCAUGAGAUGAG
rnacentral:lncRNA from 1 species